UUACGGGAGGCAGCAGUGAGGAAUAUUGCGCAAUGGGGGAAACCCUGACGCAGCGACGCCGCGUGGAUGAUGAAGGCCCUUGGGUCGUAAAAUCCUGUCAGAUGGAAAGAAAUGCUUUAGGGCUAAUAUCUCUAGAGUUUGACGGUACCAUCAAAGGAAGCACCGGCUAACUCCGUGCCAGCAGCCGCGGUAAUACGGAGGGUGCAAGCGUUGUUCGGAAUUACUGGGCGUAAAGCGCGCGUAGGCGGUUUGCUCAGUCAGAUGUGAAAGUCCCCGGCUCAACCGUGGAAGUGCAUUUGAUACUGGCAGACUUGAGUAUUGGAGGGGGUGGUGGAAUUCCCGGUGUAGAGGUGAAAUUCGUAGAUAUCGGGAGGAAUACCGGUGGCGAAGGCGACCACCUGGCCAAAUACUGACGCUGAGGUGCGAAAGCGUGGGGAGCAAACAGGAUUAGAUACCCCGGUAGC
rnacentral:rRNA from 1 species